AGCUGUGUUGCUCAGUCAGUAGAGCAUGGUACUUACAACACCCAAGGGUUGUGGGUUCAAUUCCCACCGGGGCCA
rnacentral:tRNA from 1 species